CAUGCAGACUCCACACAGAAAGGCUCCAGCCGAGCUUCAAACCAGGAACCUUCUUGCUGGGAGGCCACAGUGCUAACCCCCACACCUCCAUGCAGCCCAUCUUCCAACUUACAAUGUUAGAAACAAAUCUACAGAUGGAACCUCCACCUGAAUCGUCUCCAUGGUAACAUCCUCUCUUCAGCUCCAUCUCAUCUUCCAUGUAGCUCCAUUAACUUGAGUUUAAAAUGACACAGCUCCACCUGCAGUCUCUGCCAUCCACCUGCACAGCAUCCACCUCCAAGAAGAAAAAUCCACCUUCCAACUCUACCUGCAACCUCUGGCAUCAAGAAGGAAACUAAAUCCAUCUUCAGCCUCCACCUUCAGGCAUCACCCUCCAGACUGAACCUCCACCUGAAUGGUCUCCAUGGCAACAUCCUCUCUUCAGCUCCAGCCUCCAUCAUCUUCUGUCUUUGUACAUGAAGCUCCACCUGCAGUCUCUGCCGUCAACCUGCAAAGCAUCCACAUCCAGGAAGAGAAAUCCACCUUCAACCCAUAAUUGCAUCCCAUUAUUCCUGCUUCUAUUCCUCCACCUCCACAUUCAGCAUCGACACCCCCCAUCCUUCCUUCGACUGGGAGCGCUCCUUCACACGGACGUCUUCACUGGACUUGAAGCUCAAACUGUUCUGAUAAAAUGAAACUUCCUGAAUUUGAAUUGUUAAAAAAUUUCUGCUCAUUCCACAAGUGUUAUCAUGAAAGAGAAACCUUAAGAACUGAGAUGUUCAUCAUUUUAUGGGAUUUUAAUGCAUUUAAAUCUGUCUGAUUAAAUGUUUCUGCUGUGGCUGUAAAA